UACGUAGGGUGCAAGCGUUGUCCGGAAUUAUUGGGCGUAAAGAGCUCGUAGGCGGUUUGUCGCGUCUGGUGUGAAAAUCCAGGGCUUAACCCUGGACCUGCAUCGGGUACGGGCAGACUAGAGUGCGGUAGGGGAGAUCGGAAUUCCUGGUGUAGCGGUGAAAUGCGCAGAUAUCAGGAGGAACGCCGGUGGCGAAGGCGGAUCUCUGGGCCGUAACUGACGCUGAGGAGCGAAAGCAUGGGGAGCGAACAGG
rnacentral:rRNA from 1 species